rnacentral:tRNA from 1 species
ACCUGGGUGGCUCAAUCGGUUAAGCGUCAGACUUCGGCUCAGAUCAUGAUCUCAUGGCUCGUGGGUUCAAGCCCCACAUCGGGCU